rnacentral:rRNA from 1 species
ACUCCUACGGGAGGCAGCAGUGGGGAAUUUUGGACAAUGGGCGAAAGCCUGAUCCAGCAAUGCCGCGUGAGUGAAGAAGGCCUUCGGGUUGUAAAGCUCUUUUGUCAGGGAAGAAACGGUGAAAGCUAAUAUCUUUUGCUAAUGACGGUACCUGAAGAAUAAGCACCGGCUAACUACGUGCCAGCAGCCGCGGUAAUACGUAGGGUGCAAGCGUUAAUCGGAAUUACUGGGCGUAAAGCGUGCGCAGGCGGUUUUGUAAGUCUGAUGUGAAAUCCCCGGGCUCAACCUGGGAAUUGCAUUGGAGACUGCAAGGCUAGAAUCUGGCAGAGGGGGGUAGAAUUCCACGUGUAGCAGUGAAAUGCGUAGAUAUGUGGAGGAACACCGAUGGCGAAGGCAGCCCCCUGGGUCAAGAUUGACGCUCAUGCACGAAAGCGUGGGGAGCAAACAGGAUUAGAUACCCCGGUAGUCCCAUGAU